rnacentral:rRNA from 1 species
UACAGAGGUCUCAACCGUUGUUCGGAUUCAUUGGGCGUAAAGGGUGCGUAGGCGGUCGGGUAAGUCGGAUGUGAAAUCUCAGGGCUCAACCCUGAAACUGCAUUCGAUACUGCUUGGCUAGGGUACUGGAGAGGAGACUGGAAUUUACGGUGUAGCAGUGAAAUGCGUAGAUAUCGUAAGGAAGACCAGUGGCGAAGGCGAGUCUCUGGACAACUCCUGACGCUGAGGCACGAAAGCUAGGGGAGCAAACAGG